rnacentral:snoRNA from 1 species
UUCUUUCUAUUAAAACAAUAUAAAUACUUCAAAAGCAGGAGGGAAAGCAAGCAAGCUGGCAAGAGGCACCCAAUCCUCUCAGCUGGCUCAGUAGCACUGACUGGAAGACACUGCAACAUGG